GCGUGUGACGCCCUGGCCCAUCUCGCUCCACCCCGCCGGCCAGCCUUUCUCCCCGUCCACCGCGACGCGGCCGCACCUCCACCCCACGGUGACGCCGCCCCUGCACUUCCACCCCACCCCACCGCGACGCCGCCACCCUCCAUCUCACCCCCAUCGCGACGCCGCCAUCGGCCCAGCACCUGCACCUCCACCCUUCGUCCUCUAUUUCUAGUUUAGAGGAUCUCCCUAAAAGAAAGGUUUAUAGAGGAUCGUAUAGACGUGCUACUAGAGAUGCUAUACAGCAAGCACCGCAGAGAUCGCGUGCCCGAUCCAGGCGAGAGUGCUGCGCUUGACAGUUCACGCCACGUAUGGCGAGCAACCACAUGGCUUUCGAACCCUCUGGAGUGGUAAAGUGAAGCUGCGCUGAAGCGAUGCAGUUCGAGCAAAUCAACGACAAGGACUACCAGUACCAGCAUAUGGGCCACCGAAAUAGCCAAUCCUGUAAAUGCUGGACACAAAUACUUGAUACUUGCUUAAACAGUUUUUCUUCUGUUGAAAUCUGGUCAAAGAAAUUAACGUUUGAAAUUCUCUGAACUGGAGGGAUUCGCCUCCCUGUUUGUGAGUUAAAAUACCUAAACCACAGUGGAUGUUAAGAAAGGGACUUGGUGUUGUUCUUAGAAACAUUGAGCAUUGAGUCACAUUCUGAAAACUUCGGAAAGUUGACAUUGUGUAUUGGCCUCUCGGCUCAUGAGUUAUUUUUCUCUGAUAUACCUUCUCAGAGUAUUGUUGUAAUAUAAAUCUCUCUAUCCUCUGUCACAA